UGACGGUACCAUAUGAAUAAGCACCGGCUAACUCCGUGCCAGCAGCCGCGGUAAUACGGAGGGUGCAAGCGUUGUCCGGAAUCACUGGGUGUAAAGGGUGUGUAGGCGGGGCAGUAAGUCAGAGGUGAAAGCCCACGGCUCAACCGUGGAAUUGCCUUUGAUACUGCUGUUCUUGAGUCCUGGAGAGGUCGCCGGAAUUCGUGGUGUAGCGGUGAAAUGCGUAGAUAUCACGAGGAACACCGGAGGUGUAGACGGGUGACUGGACAGGUACUGACGCUGAGGCACGAAAGCGUGGGGAGCAAACAGGAUUAGAUACCC
rnacentral:rRNA from 1 species